GGCGAACGCUGGCGGCAGGCUUAACACAUGCAAGUCGAGCGGGCCCUUCGGGGUCAGCGGCAGACGGGUGAGUAACACGUGGGAACGUACCCUUUGGUUCGGAAUAACGCUGGGAAACUAGCGCUAAUACCGGAUACGCCCUUUUGGGGAAAGGCUUGCUGCCGAAGGAUCGGCCCGCGUCUUAUUAGCUCGUUGGUGGGGUAAUGGCCUACCAAGGCGACGAUCAGUAGCUGGUCUGAGAGGAUGAUCAGCCACACUGGGACUGAGACACGGCCCAGACUCCUACGGGAGGCAGCAGUGGGGAAUAUUGGACAAGGGGCGCAAGCCUGAUCCAGCCAUGCCGCGUGAGUGAUGAAGGCAUUAGGGUUGUAAAGCUCUUUUGUCCGGGACGAUAAUGACGGUACCGGAAGAAUAAGCCCCGGCUAACUUCGUG
rnacentral:rRNA from 1 species